UAGGGAAUCUUCGGCAAUGGACGAAAGUCUGACCGAGCAACGCCGCGUGAGUGAAGAAGGUUUUCGGAUCGUAAAACUCUGUUGUUAGAGAAGAACAAGGACGUUAGUAACUGAACGUCCCCUGACGGUAUCUAACCAGAAAGCCACGGCUAACUACGUGCCAGCAGCCGCGGUAAUACGUAGGUGGCAAGCGUUGUCCGGAUUUAUUGGGCGUAAAGCGAGCGCAGGCGGUUUCUUAAGUCUGAUGUGAAAGCCCCCGGCUCAACAGGGGAGGGUCAUUGGAAACUGGGAGACUUGAGUGCAGAAGAGGAGAGUGGAAUUCCAUGUGUAGCAGUGAAAUGCGUAGAUAUAUGGAGGAACACCAGUGGCGAAGGCGGCUCUCUGGUCUGUAACUGACGCUGAGGACCGAAAGCGUGGGGAGCAAACAAG
rnacentral:rRNA from 1 species